rnacentral:rRNA from 1 species
UACGGGGGUGGCGAGCGUUGUCCGGAAUCACUGGGCGUAAAGGGCGCGUAGGUGGUCUGAUAAGGGUGUGGUGAAAGCCCGGGGCUCAACCCCGGGUCGGCCGUGCCGACUGUUGGACUAGAGUGCUGUAGGGGCAGGCGGAAUUCCGGGUGUAGCGGUGGAAUGCGUAGAUAUCCGGAGGAACACCGGUGGCGAAGGCGGCUUCCUGGACCGAUACUGACGCUGAGGCGCGAAAGCUAGGGAGCAAACGGG